rnacentral:rRNA from 1 species
CUGCUGCCUUCCGUAGGAGUCUGGUCCGUGUCUCAGUACCAGUGUGGGGGACCUUCCUCUCAGAACCCCUACGCAUCGUCGGUUAGGUGGCCGUUACCCCGCCUACUGCCUAAUGCGCCGCAUGCCCAUCCCUGUCCGGCCGAAGCCUUUCCUGCCUCCGGGAUGCCCCGGUGGCAUGUACGCGGGUUUAGCCCGCCUUUCGGCGGGUUGUCCCCCUGACAGGGGCAGGUUGCAUACGUGUUACUCACCCGUGCGCCGGUCGCCGGCGGAGAAAG